GGGGACGUAGGACGCCGACCUGGGCCUCCCCGGCGCUCCGGCUCCGCUCAGGGCGCCCGCUCAGGGGCCUCCGGCGCGAGGCCCCCUAUGUGGUCAAGAUGGCGGCGCCCAGGCGGGCCGCGCCGAGGUGAGCUGGAGCCGGGCCCGGAGAGGGGCGAGUCUGCCACGCCCAGGACUUGGACCCCGGGCUGGUCUCCCGUCUCCCGGGGAGCGGCGGCAGGCUUUUCUUGGAGAACUGCCAGAUAAUGCCAUCCUGCCUCCUCACGGGCCCCGGGGAUGAGUCGCCCAGGGACUGAACUCCAGUAAAGCAGGUGAUUGGCUCAUGGGUUAAUUAUCUGAGAAGAGUAUUGUGCCAGCACACUUGAUACUACAGUAUUUCAUGUUUGACAGGACUGUUUAUCAAGCAUCUUCCUGUUCUCUAUGCUUGGACGUAUCAAUGAAUAAAUUAGACAAGAGCCUUUGCCUGCGUGCUCCUUCUUGCAUGCUUUCUCCCUCCUUACACUCUCGUGUGGAAACGGAUGUUAUAAAUAAAUUCUAUGCUUUGUCACAAGUUGAUGGGUGCUACGGGAUAAGGAAAAGGAUGUGAAGCUCCCUGAAGAGGCUUGGGUUGGGAGUGCUGGAGGAGUGUACAGAGCAGAGACUCAGCACCUUUCUGUACAGAAAUGGAGACAGGAAGAGGCCAGAGGAUGAAUGACAGGCACGAAUGAGGUGGAACUUUGAAGAGCAACAUGGAAAUGAAAUAC